rnacentral:rRNA from 1 species
UACGUAGGUGGCGAGCGUUAUCCGGAAUUAUUGGGCGUAAAGAGCGCGCAGGUGGUUGAUUAAGUCUGACGUGAAAGCCCACGGCUUAACCGUGGAGGGUCAUUGGAAACUGGUCGACUUGAGUGCAGAAGAGGGAAGUGGAAUUCCAUGUGUAGCGGUGAAAUGCGUAGAGAUAUGGAGGAACACCAGUGGCGAAGGCGGCUUCCUGGUCUGUAACUGACACUGAGGCGCGAAAGCGUGGGGAGCAAACAGGAUUAGAUACCCGGGUA